rnacentral:lncRNA from 1 species
ACACUUCAUCAAAAUUGGAUGAAUGAUUCACCCAAAAAUGAAACAAAAAUAUUUUUACAAAUCAUAUCACAUAGGGCAUGUGAUAUGAUUUGUAAAAUUCAAAAAUUUGUAAAAAAUUCAUUCUAAAUCUAAUUCUGGAAAUUUCUGGAGGUUUUGACAACAGUGUCAUCUUCCUGUUCAAUAGGCAUAAAAAGCUACAUUCACACAUGCACAAUUCAGUAUACAUAUACAAUACAAUAGCUGAGCACACACUUAAUGAAAUGAAUGCCAUGGUCAUAUGCUAUAGUGCUGUUAAUGCAAAUGUUGCUGCUGCAGCUCAACUUUAUCAUAAAAGACAUCCCUCAGCACAAACACUUAAAUCUAUGAUACAUCAAUUCCUUGAAAUGCCCAAGAUAAGGUCAUCCACAAACAGCAACUGAUGAGGUCAUAACAACUUU